rnacentral:rRNA from 1 species
CGCGGCCUAUCAGCUUGUUGGUGAGGUAACGGCUCACCAAGGCAUCGACGGGUAGCUGGUCUGAGAGGACGAUCAGCCACACUGGGACUGAGACACGGCCCAGACUCCUACGGGAGGCAGCAGUAGGGAAUCUUGCGCAAUGGGCGAAAGCCUGACGCAGCAACGCCGCGUGGGGGAUGAAUGCCUUCGGGUUGUAAGCCCCUUUCAGCAGGGACGAAAAUGACGGUACCUGCAGAAGAAGCUCCGGCCAACUACGUGCCAGCAGCCGCGGUAAUACGUAGGGAGCGAGCGUUGUCCGGAAUUAUUGGGCGUAAAGAGCUCGUAGGCGGUUCAGUAAGUCGGGUGUGAAAACUCAAGGCUCAACCUUGAGACGCCACUCGAUACUGCUGUGACUUGAGUCCGGUAGAGGAGUGUGGAAUUCCUGGUGUAGCGGUGAAAUGCGCAGAUAUCAGGAGGAACACCAGCGGCGAAGGCGGCACUCUGGGCCGGUACUGACGCUGAGGAGCGAAAGCAUGGGGAGCAAACAGGAUUAGAUACCCUGGUAGUCCAUGCCGUAAACGUUGGGCACUAGGUAUGGGAUCAUAUCAACGGAUUCCGUGCCGUAGCUAACGCAUUAAGUGCCCCGCCUGGGGAGUACGG